GUCUCUGUGGCGCAAUAGGUUAGUGCGUUCGGCUGUUUGAACCGAAAGGCUGGUGGUUCAAGCCCACCCAGAGAUG
rnacentral:tRNA from 1 species